NNNNNNNNNNNNNNNNNNNNNNNNNGGGGCCGUUCCCACGCUGUCCCCAUUCAUUCAUUCAUUCAUUCAUUCAUGGCCUUUACUCAUUCAUUCAGCGCUUUACUCGUUCAUUCAUUCGUUUGUUCCCUCCCUUCCUCCAUCACUCCCCGCCCAUCCGUGGCUCUUCCCGGUCCCCGGUGCUUCCAGAUCCGGUUAUCCUGGAUUUAUCCCAAUCCUGGUGCUUGCAACCAGGUUAUCCCGGUGCUUCCAUGUCCUUUUAUCCCCUGUUAUCCCGGUCCAGGUGCUUCCCCAAGCCUGGCAGCCCCCAGUUCUCCCAGUCCUGAUGCUUCCAGUCCUGAUUAUCCCAUGUUAUCCCAGUGCUUCCAGUCCGGUUCUCCUGGUUUAUCCCGCUCCUGGUGCCUUCAGGUGGGCAAUCCUGGUGCCUCCAGACCCGAUUAUCCUGGGUUAUCCCCAUUCUGGUGCUUCCAGAUCCAGUUGUCCCGGAUUAUCCCAGUCCUGAUGCCUGGUUUAUCCUGGUUUAUCCUGGUUUAUCCCAGUGCCUCCAGGUCCGGUUGUCCCGGGUUAUCCCUGUUAUCCCAGCCUCAGUGUCUGCAGCCUGGGCUCUCCCAGUUUAUCCCAGUCCUGCUGCCCUACAGCCCGGGUUAUCCCGGGUAAUCCCAGUCCUCCAGGUCCAGUUAUCCCAGGUAAUCCCAGUCCUCCAGACCCGGUUAUCCCGGGUAAUCCCAGUCCUCCAGCCCCAAUUAUCCCAGGUAAUCCCAGUCCUCCAGCCCUGGUUAUCCCAGGUAAUCCCAGUCCUCCAGGUCCAGUCCUCCCAGGCAAUCCCAGUCCUCCAGCCCCGGUUAUCCCAGGUAAUCCCAGUCUUCCAGCCCCAAUUAUCCCAGGUAAUCCCAGUCCUCCAGCCCCAAUUAUCCCAGGUAAUCCCAGUCCUCCAAACCCGGUUAUCCCAGGCAAUCCCAGUCCUCCAGCCCCGGUUAUCCCGGGUAAUCCCAGUCCUCCAGCCCCGGUUAUCCCAGGUAAUCCCAGUCCUCCAGGUCCAGUCCUCCCAGGCAAUCCCAGUCCUCCAGCCCCAAUUAUCCCAGGUAAUCCCAGUCCUCCAAACCCGGUUAUCCCAGGCAAUCCCAGUCCUCCAGCCCCGGUUAUCCCGGGUAAUCCCAGUCCUCCAGCCCCGGUUAUCCCAGGCAAUCCCAGUCCUCCAGGUCCAGUCCUCCCAGGCAAUCCCAGUCCUCCAGGUCCAGUCCUCCCAGGCAAUCCCAGUCCUCCAGCCCCGGUUAUCCCAGGUAAUCCCAGUCCUCCAGACCCAGUUAUCCCAAUUUAUCCCUGUCCCGGUGUCUCCGAUCCUUUAUUCCCGGUUUAUCCCGGUCCCGUCGCCGUUAUUCCCGGUUCAUCCCGCCGUUUCCCAGGCCGUUCGCUCCCCGCGUUCUCCCGUUUCCCAUCGCCACGCGGCGCAGCGCGCGCGCGGUAAACACUGCGUGUCGCCAUGGCGACGGCGUUCCGCGCCGCUGACGUCACCACGUCCGGAGUCAUUUGUUUACGUCGCCGGGCGACGGCCGUCCCCAUGGCAACGGGGGAGAGAGGGGGCGUGGCCACGGGGCGGUGUAAAGAGGCGUGGUUGGGGAAAAGUGGGCGUGGUUACGGGGAAAGGGGGCGUGGCCUCCGUUUUCCCGCGCUCUGCAGGGAGGGUAAAACCGCG
rnacentral:lncRNA from 1 species